UACGUAGGGGGCAAGCGUUGUCCGGAAUCAUUGGGCGUAAAGCGCGCGUAGGCGGCCCGGUAAGUCCGCUCUGAAAGUCCAGGGCUUAACCCUGGAAAGCGGGUGGAUACUGCCGGGCUUGAAUCCGGAAGAGGCGAGUGGAAUUCCUGGUGUAGCGGUGGAAUGCGUAGAGAUCCGGAGGAAGACCGGUGGCGAAGGCGGUCUGCUGGGCAGUUUCUGACACUGAGGCGCGACAGCGUGGGGAGCAAACAGG
rnacentral:rRNA from 1 species